rnacentral:pre_miRNA from 1 species
GUCCCAAAUUUCAAGUGGAGUAGAUUAGUAGUGUCAGCUUACUCUACUCAACUAUUCUACUUCAAGUUUGUGCCC